UGGAAAGUGCAACACAAACAA
rnacentral:siRNA from 1 species